GCUAGGAUAGCUCAGUCGGUAAAGCAGGAGACUUUUAAUCUCAGGGUUGUGAGUUCGAGCACAAUGUUGGGCA